CCACCUUCAAACGACUAAACGAUCAGACCUGUUUCGACUCGAAAAGCGAUGUUAAGGGGCGUGGCAAAAUGAUUAGCGGUCCUUCUAUUGGCUGUUCUCUUCGAAGACGUUGCUCGCUAUUGGCUGCGCUGAGGGAGUGGAAGAGCGUUAACCGUGUGCCUUUGAAGAAGGCAAGGCAGAGUGUAAUAUGACAGAUGAGGCUGCUCCGCACGCGACGUUCACCGUUUGCACAGAUGAAAACACUUCUCGAUAUACAAGAUUGCAGCAGGAUUAUUUCGGGCAGCUUUCUUCUCUGUUCCGGUUUAAGUCUUGUUUUGAUUGUUUAGAGACACGCAACAAUGGCCGCGUGUCAAAAUAUAGUGAGCUGCCUAACUAGACUGCAUUUCUGGGUGACAUAGACGUGCUGAAUGCCCUGCAAUGUAAGCUGAUUGUUAGGUUUUAAGACGGAGCCAGUGGCAACUAGUCUAAAUAUGACUGUUUUUGAAAACAGACGUGUCCUGAUAAUGCCUGUACAUGUCACACAAUCCAAAAUAUUUGGCUUAUCUUUAUAAAUCCCAAACCUUAGCCCAAAGAGUCUGUUUAUGUGUCAUUCAACCUUUUCAUCAUUCAAGGUUUUUGGUCUUUACUGUGUCCUUGUGAAUUCCACAUAUAUUAUCUUAUGUUAUCUCAGUGCUUUGCUAUCAGACAACUGCUUGAUUCACUCAGCUUUCGAGGUGCCUUUUCUCAAUACAUUUGGUUUUAUUAUUAACAUGGGUUUGUGUUGAUGAGCGGCAUGCACUUUAAUCACUUUUAGGAGUUUGACACCCGUUCAAACAGCAUUUCAGUACAAAGUUAAAAGCUUAUCUGCUUCCUGUCGCAAACACACCCUAGUCAGCCGAAGUUCGGUGCUUCAUUUAAAAAAUAAACACAUGAAGAUCUGUGUGACUUUGCUGUAUAAAUUAUGUGUUGCCCUGGGAUGUUUGACAUUUCUGCAUUGUUUACGCAGGUUAACAUGGGAGGUGGUGAGUUGUAACACCAACAUCCCAAAGGCGACUUACAUGAACGGCGUGAAAAAAGGCAUCAAAAUUAAAGGCCAAGGGCAUGCAUGAAUAGCACCCCUCCCCACCUGCUCAAGUCAAUGCAUUGCCCUUGAGGAAUGCCUCAAGGCUUUAGAUUUUAAGUGAUGUUUUUUUUCCUUUUCUUUCCCCCCCUUUCUGACAAAUCAAAUCCCCUGAUUCAGCUGCAUCCAUUAGGUUGAUGCUCCGCAGUAGCGCACAGCUAACGGUUUGUUAUCUGCUUGUUUCAUUGUCUUAGUUUUCGAGACGCCAGACUGAAGACUGACCUUCAGUGAAGCUUCCACCAUGGGAUUCUUUUUUAUUUUAAGAUAAAAUCAUAAAGGCAUUGUUUCACAUUUGAUAAUAUUUUGUUAUGCGCAUCUAGUGUACCCAGUCCCAUUGCAUUUCUAUAGUCAUGCACUUGAUCCUCGGUUGUUUUAAAUUAAAAGUAAAAAAGCAAAAAUUUCUAGCUCAAUUAGAAAAUAUGCCAAGUGAAAGCCAGCUUGCUCAGCAUAAAAUGAAAGAUUGAUGCCAGUACAAAAGUGAGAACUCAAAGGACGUGUUCUCAAGGUUACACCUUCUCAAAUAUUUCAUAUGAUUUAGUAAAUGUGCCCACAGGACGUUUAAUAGAUUGUCACGUUUUCUCCCCUGUGUGCUGAACCAGAACUCCUGAAGGAAAUUCUGCAAUGUGAAAUUGAGCAGUAAUGGUUUUCAUGGUAACUGAGAUACUAUGAGAAGCACACAAAUUCGCCAUCACAGAGAGCUGGAUUCGCAGCGUCCACAUUUGUUUUAUUUUCAAUGCACUUUUUUUUUUUUUUCCUCAUUUGUAAUGACACCAAUGUGAUGAGCAUGAAACAAUCAUGUCAAAUGGUGAACUGGUCUCAUUUAGCAAAAAUAGUUUUGGUAAAGCCUUUAAGAUUUAUU
ensembl:lncRNA